GACGAACGCUGGCGGCGUGCCUAAUACAUGCAAGUAGAACGCUGAAGGAGGAGCUUGCUUCUCUGGAUGAGUUGCGAACGGGUGAGUAACGCGUAGGUAACCUGCCUGGUAGCGGGGGAUAACUAUUGGAAACGAUAGCUAAUACCGCAUAAGAGUAGAUGUUGCAUGACAUUUGCUUAAAAGGUGCAAUUGCAUCACUACCAGAUGGACCUGCGUUGUAUUAGCUAGUUGGUGGGGUAACGGCUCACCAAGGCGACGAUACAUAGCCGACCUGAGAGGGUGAUCGGCCACACUUGGACUGAGGCACGGCCCAGACUCCUACGGGAAGCAGCAGUAGGGAAUCUUCGGCAAUGGGCGGAAGUCUGACCGAGCAACGCCGCGUGAGUGAAGAAGGUUUUCGGAUCGUAAAGCUCUGUUGUAAGAGAAGAACGAGUGUGAGAGUGGAAAGUUCACACUGUGACGGUAUCUUACCAGAAAGAGACGGCUAACUACGUG
rnacentral:rRNA from 1 species